GUGCUUGCUUUGGCAGCACAUAUACUAAAAUUGGAAUGAUACAGAGAAGAUUAGCAUGGCCCCUGCACAAGGAUGACAUACAAAUUUGUGAAGCAGUCCAUAUUUUU
ensembl:snRNA Gm23506 predicted gene, 23506